CAGACAGGGUCUCACUUUGUCACCCAGGCAGGAGUGCAGCGGCUCAAUCUUGGGCUCACUGCAGUCUCAACCUCCCAGAGGCGGGGUUUCACCAUGUUGCCCAGACUGGUCUUGAACUCCUGAGCUUAAGCAAUCCACCUGCCUCGGCCUCCCAAAGUAUUGGGAUUACAGGUGUGAGCCACCGCAUCCGGCCUCAUGUUCUUUUUCAUUAAAGAGAGAAAUCAACUAUUCAGGACCGGCCCCCACCUUUCCUCAGGAGUCAUUUCUGUUCUGCACAGGCCUGCUGAACUGGGUGCUUUAUAUAGGGCACUGUCAUCUCUCAAGUACCCAUCGUGGAGGGUACGGACCCCACAUGAGGAUUUCAGUGGAGUGAAGUUCAGGAGGCAUGGAGCUGACGACCACGAGGCCUCGGCAGCCACCGCCGCUGCCGCCACCACCACCGCCGCCGCCGCCGCCGCCGCAGCAGCAAGAGUAACUCUGACUUAGGAAUAGAGACAGCCGGAGAGAAAUGUGAUCAAUGAAGGAGACAUGUGGAGUGUGCGUGCUUCUUCAGAGGGACUGGUGAUGGGCAGACUGGAAAAAGCACUGCAGAUGGGAACAUUAAUCUUUCUUUUCUAAAAUUGAUGCUAUGAAAAUUUGCGUUUUCUGUAACUUGUAAAAACUAAAAGUUGCUUGUCUACUGAAAA
rnacentral:lncRNA from 1 species